CCCUAGUUAGCUCAGUUGGUAGAGCGCUCCACUUGUAAUGGAGAGGUCCCGGGUUCGAUACCCGGACCAGGCG
rfam:Ixodes scapularis strain Wikel colony gcontig_1107728668594, whole genome shotgun sequence.